rnacentral:lncRNA from 1 species
GUUCGUGCCAGCCAGUUGAUGUGGGCGCUUUCUUCUGCCCCUACUCCCGGCUGUCCGCUUCCUCCCCAGCCCCCUCCUGUGAGCUCUGGGAGCUACAGAAUAAGGACACUCCUUGGCCCCAAGCCAGCCCCAGCUUGCUCGGGAGCCUGGGUUUCCCCCUCCGUCCCCAUCACCGCGAGGGUCUGUGCAUGGGAAUCUGCUCCAGAGGCUCCCUCAGGCGCCGCGCCGCGGGGAUACGCCUUUCACCGCCCCAGCAAUUGGAGCGCUGAGUCGAAGUCCUGAUUCCACGAUAGGCGGAUGAAGCCCUAACGCUGAAAUUCUUUCCUCUAGGUCUUUGGCAGCGGCUGGGGCCAAAGCCCGGGCAAGACCAACGCCUUCGGCACCCGGACUCAGGCUCCGUCCUCUCUGCCAGCGUGCGGCUACAAUGACUCGACAUGGCAGGUGGGCAAGCACAGCACGCCCCAACAGACAUGCUUUAUUUAAUAUGUACUAAAAAUACAGCAGGCCUGUGAAACCCACAGGUGCAAUUGCUUAAAAUGAGGCUAAGGUAGACGUGUGAAUGGUUAAUAAUGAGUUGAUUAAAAUAUUCAGAAAUCAUCUACUGGAGACGGGCAAACUGCAAAAUGGUAGCAUGGGAGCAACUGAUGUUCGAGAAAGCCCAGGCUCCGGCAAGCCGUGGGUUUGAAUUUACACAUGCGCACAUAAUGGGUAUGAAUAAACCUUUCUUCAAAAAAACCAGAUCAAGUCAAGGCAGUUAUUUGCUGUGGGCAGGUGCCAAGGCUGGCUGCUUCAGUCCCCACGCGAGUCGCCCCCGAGCCUGCUUCUGCAGCCCAGCCUGGAAAGUGCAAGGCACUUGGAAAGGAGCCACGCCCAACGCCCUGUACCAGCGGCCUCCCGGACACCAACAGCGUCCUCUGCGCCUGCUGCAGCUUGUCCCUUAGUCCUCCCUGGACAGAGGGCGUGAAGUUGGCUGCGCCAACAGGACGCGGCCCGCUCACUUCGGGGCUCAUUGUCCUGGACACACAGUCAGGGCUGGACGCCUCCAGCAGCCCCACGCUUCACCCCAAGGUCCGCAAACCUGACAACUUCGGAGGCCACUGCCUUCAGAGAAGGUGACAGAGGGCCAUGUCUGAAACAUUCUCCCACAACCAGGAACCCUCAGCAGCCGCUGAAGAGGAAAGGCAGUUAAAUGGAAAGACUUCUGAGCAAGUGGAGGAAAAGUCACGUGUGACCUAGGGAGGGGCUCCCACAGGAAGGGGCAAUGCCCUUGCCCUGUUCACCUAGCCUCCAGGUGGCUUCCCACUUGAAAUUUCAGAGGAUGGCAGAAACCUACUUACAAGGAAAUGAAAGAGGGCACAGCAACCUUAAGACCAGAGCAGCCCACGAUAUUUUUUAAUGAGGGCAAAAAUAGAAGACUUGCAAAAGACCCCUGAAAAUAAUGCCUGGAAGCUGCGAAACAUCAGACUGACACCGCACAAAAGAGGUCCAGCUGAGCAGGAGAAAAGCUUGAGAAGCAUCCAGAACAAUGUAGGUGGAGAGGCUAAGAAGAAAGAGGAGCCCACAUGGAAUGAAUAACCAAGGUCGGGACAGAGGAAGGUUCGCCAGAACUGGGAGGGCUGAAAUUGGACAUUGAGAUAAAUUAAAGAGUGUUCUUUAAAACUGUCAAGACUUUGGCUGGUCAAUAAGUAAACUGCAAACGAGUGUUCCUAAACCACAGCAGCAAUGCUCCCUGGAGGAGGGAAGGAGGCCGGGGCUGCCACUCUCCCAGGUGGCUGCGUCCCGGCCUUUGCCAUUGAUGUGUGCUUUCUCCAGGCUCACAGAUGUCCCUGGGCCGGUUGCAUCUGUGACCAGGACUCUGCCACCUGCCUGUGGCUUGCUGAUCAGCUGGUCACCCAGGAAUGUUAGGGAUGAACAGAGACCUAGAACUCAGGCUCCAUGGAUCUGGCAGCACCAGGAGACGAGGUUUCAAAUCUCAUGGCUGGGCCAGCCAGCCAGGUGCCCUGGAACUGUUGUGAUCCCUGCUCCUUGCCGGGCUUAGCCUCCUCUUACUUCAGCCCAGAAGUCCCCGAGUACCCACUCAACAAAUGCCAUCCCUUUAAUUUCUGUGGCCUGCUGCCAUCACGGCUCGCCUAAUUCAUUCCCUCCACACCCUAAGUGUCCACGGAAGUGGCUGAAACAGUAAAACCACAGAGGAGCAUUCAUUCCAGUCCCCAAG